rnacentral:rRNA from 1 species
GUGGGGAAUCUUCCGCAAUGGACGAAAGUCUGACGGAGCGACGCCGCGUGAGUGAAGAAGGCCUUCGGGUCGUAAAGCUCUGUCAUCAGGGACGAACGGCCGGUGGAGUGGAAAGCCACCGGAUUGACGGUACCUGAGAAGGAAGCCACGGCUAACUACGUGCCAGCAGCCGCGGUAAUACGUAGGUGGCAAGCGUUGUCCGGAAUUAUUGGGCGUAAAGCGCGCGCAGGUGGGAUCUUAAGUCCAUUUUUAAAGUUCGGAGCUCAACUCCGUGAUGGGAUGGAAACUGGGAUUCUUGAGUACCGGAGAGGAAAGCGGAAUUCCCCGUGUAGCGGUGAAAUGCGUAGAUAUCGGGAGGAACACCAGUGGCGAAGGCGGCUUCCUGGCACAAUACUGACGCUCAUGUGCGAAAGCUAGGGCAGCGAACGGGAUUAGAAACCCGAGUAGUCC